rnacentral:rRNA from 1 species
AGUCGAGGGGUAACAUUGGUGCUUGCACCAGAUGACGACCGGCGCACGGGUGCGUAACGCGUAUAGAACCUACCUUUUACAGGGGAAUAGCCUUUAGAAAUGAAGAUUAAUGCCCCAUAGUAUUACGACUUGGCAUCAAGUUGUAUUUAAAGAUUUAUCGGUAAAAGAUGGCUAUGCGUCCUAUUAGUUAGUUGGUAAGGUAACGGCUUACCAAGACAUCGAUAGGUAGGGGUCCUGAGAGGGAGAUCCCCCACACUGGUACUGAGACACGGACCAGACUCCUACGGGAGGCAGCAGUGAGGAAUAUUGGACAAUGGAGGCAACUCUGAUCCAGCCAUGCCGCGUGCAGGAAGACGGCCCUAUGGGUUGUAAACUGCUUUUAUACAGGAAGAAACAUCCCGACGUGUCGGGACUUGACGGUACUGUAAGAAUAAGGACCGGCUAACUCCGUGCCAGCAGCCGCGGUAAUACGGAGGGUCCGAGCGUUAUCCGGAAUCAUUGGGUUUAAAGGGUCCGCAGGCGGUCAAUUAAGUCAGAGGUGAAAUCCCAUAGCUUAACUAUGGAACUGCCUUUGAUACUGGUUGACUUGAGUCAUAUGGAAGUAGAUAGAAUGUGUAGUGUAGCGGUGAAAUGCAUAGAUAUUACACAGAAUACCGAUUGCGAAGGCAGUCUACUACGUAUGUACUGACGCUCAUGGACGAAAGCGUGGGGAGCGAACAGGAUUAGAUACCCUGGUAGUCCACGCCGUANACGAUGGAUACUAGUUGUUGGGAUUUAUCUCAGUGACUAAGCGAAAGUGAUAAGUAUCCCACCUGGGGAGUACGGUCGCAAGA